UACAGAGGGGGCAAGCGUUGUUCGGAAUUACUGGGCGUAAAGGGCGCGUAGGCGGCCUGCUAAGUCGAACGUGAAAUCCCUGGGCUCAACCCAGGAACUGCGUCCAAUACUGGUUGGCUUGAAUCCGGGAGAGGGAUGCGGAAUUCCAGGUGUAGCGGUGAAAUGCGUAGAUAUCUGGAGGAACACCGGUGGCGAAGGCGGCAUCCUGGACCGGCAUUGACGCUGAGGCGCGAAAGCCAGGGGAGCAAACGGG
rnacentral:rRNA from 1 species